rnacentral:rRNA from 1 species
AAAUAUUAAUAGUUAUGUUCUUAAAAUUUAGAGAAUUUGGCGGUGUUUUAGUCUGUUUAGAGGAACCUGUUUCGUAAAUGAUAAACCUCAAAAUAUCUUACUUGUUAUAAUAGCUUGUAUACCGYCAUUAUUAGAUAAUUUUUACAGAAAAAAUUAUUGGAGUAGGAGUGUGUCUUAGAAUAUUAGAUCAAGGUGCAGCUUAUGGGCAAGGGAAAAUGGGUUACAAUAGGAAUUUAGUUACAACGGAGUAGUUUUUGAAAAAAAAUAUGAAGGGGGAUUUAAUUGUAAUAUAAGUUCAAUAAGCUCGCAUGAUAUUAGCUCUAAAUUAUGUACACA